rnacentral:lncRNA from 1 species
CACAACUCCAGGCAAGCAGAGGGAAGCGGCUCAGGCCUCAGCCAGCACAGAGAGGGGCUACCAUAGUGCCGUGGCGGGCUGAAGGACUCCUCAAGCGCCGCCAGAGUGGACGCUGAGGCCGAGGAGGCGCUGAGAGUGAGGGCUGCUAGCACAUUGACACCUCUCAGCUGGACAUUUUAAACUAGAUAUUGCUGCGUAUGUUUACAGUGUUGGCCGGAAUUUGGAAGCUGGUGAAGUGAUUUCAUAUUGUCAGGGCUGCUUGCCGUACACUGAUGAUGGCAAAGGAAAAGAUGCAAGAAAUAUGCUGAGUACCCUCAUGUUCAUUGAGGGUAAUGUUUUUGUGCUCAUUGCCACUUCUGCUUCUGAAAGCCAUUGA